AAUAAAAUAAUUAUGUUUUUGGUGGUUUAUUAUAAAUUUGUUUUACAUAUAAAUUUUAGUAUAUAAUUUUAAUUAUUUUAAUAAUGAUUAAUUAAAUUUGGUAGUAAUUAAUAUUAAAAAUUUAAGAAAUUAAGAUUUAGUAAUAUUAAAAUUAAUAACUAAUUUUGUGCCAGCAGUUGCGGUUAAACAAAAAUUAAAUUAAAUUAUUUCAGUUUAUAAUAAAUAAUUAAUUUAUUAAAAUAAAUAUUGAAUUAUUAAGUGAAAUUUUAAUUUAAUUUAAUUUUAUAAAAAAAAAUUAUGAUUUAAUAAAUUUUAAUAUAAACUAGGAUUAGAUACCCUAUUAUUAAAAAUUUAAUUUAUAAUACUAAAAUAGUAAAUAAUAAUUUAUUGAAACUUAAAUAAUAUGGCGGUAUUUUAGUUCAUUUAGAGGAAUCUGUCUAAUAAUUGAUAAUCCACGAAUAAAUUUACUUAAUUUAUAAUUUUGUAUAUCGUUGUUAAAAAAAUAUUUUUUAGUAAUAAUAAUAUUUUAAAUUUAAAAAUAAAAAUUAAUUCAGAUCAAGAUGCAGAAUAUAAUUAAGAAUAUGAUGGAUUACAUUAAAUAUAUUUAAAUGAAUAAUUUAUUGUAACAUAAAUUUGAAGGUGGAUUUAAAUGUAAUUUUAAUUAAUUUAUUAAAAUGAUUAAAAAUUAAAAUAUGUACAUAUUGCCCGUCACUUUCAUUUAAAAAUUGGAAUAAGUCGUAACAAAGUAGAGGUACUGGAAAGUGUUUCUAGAAAGAU
rnacentral:rRNA from 1 species